rnacentral:rRNA from 1 species
AUUGAACGCUAGCGGAAUGCUUUACACAUGCAAGUCGAACGACAGCACGGAGAGCUUGCUCUCUGGUGGCGAGUGGCGAACGGGUGAGUAAUGUAUCGGAACAUACCCAGUAGCGGGGGAUAACUACUCGAAAGAGUGGCUAAUACCGCAUACGCCCUACGGGGGAAAGGGGGGGAUCUUAGGACCUCUUACUAUUGGAGUGGCCGAUAUCGGAUUAGCUAGUUGGUGGGGUAAAGGCUCACCAAGGCGACGAUCCGUAGCUGGUUGGAGAGGACGAGCGGCCACACUGGGACUGAGACACGGCCCAGACUGCUACGGGAGGCAGCGGUGGGGAAUUUUGGACAAUGGGCUAAAGCCUGAUCCAGCCAUUCCGCGUGUGUGAUGAAGGCCUUCGGGUUGUAAAGCACUUUUGUCAGGGAAGAAACAGCGAUAAAUAAUACUUGUCGCGAAUGACGGUACCUGAAGAAUAAGCACCGGCUAACUACGUGCCAGCAGCCGCAGUACGAC